AGAGUUUGAUCCUGGCUCAGAUUGAACGCUGGCGGUAUGCUUAACACAUGCAAGUCGAACGGUAACAGAGGAGAGCUUGCUCUCUUGCUGACGAGUGGCGGACGGGUGAGUAACGCGUAGGAAUCUGCCUAGUAGUGGGGGACAACUCGGAGAAAUCCGAGCUAAUACCGCAUACGCCCUACGGGGGAAAGCAGGGGAUCUUCGGACCUUGCGCUAUUAGAUGAGCCUGCGUUGGAUUAGCUUGUUGGUGAGGUAAUGGCUCACCAAGGCUGCGAUCCAUAGCUGGUCUGAGAGGAUGAUCAGCCACACUGGAACUGAGACACGGUCCAGACUCCUACGGGAGGCAGCAGUGGGGAAUAUUGGACAAUGGGCGAAAGCCUGAUCCAGCCAUGCCGCGUGUGUGAAGAAGGCCUUAGGGUUGUAAAGCACUUUCAGUAGGGAGGAAAAGCUGUCGGUUAAUAACCGCCAGCCCUGACGUUACCUACAGAAGAAGCACCGGCAAACUCCGUGCCAGCAGCCGCGGUAAUACGGAGGGUGCGAGCGUUAAUCGGAAUUACUGGGCGUAAAGCGCGCGUAGGCGGCCUGAUAAGUUGGAUGUGAAAGCCCCGGGCUCAACCUGGGAACUGCGUUCAAAACUGUCAGGCUAGAGUAUGGUAGAGGAUAGUGAAAUUUCCGGUGUAGCGGUGAAAUGCGUAGAGAUCGGAAAGGAACAUCAGUGGCGAAGGCGGCUAUCUGGACCAAUACUGACGCUGAGGUGCGAAAGCGUGGGGAGCAACAGGAUUAGAUACCCUGUAGUCCACGCCGUAAACGAUGUCAACUAGCCGUUGGGGGGCCUUGUCC
rnacentral:rRNA from 1 species